rnacentral:rRNA from 1 species
GACGAACGCUGGCGGCGUGCUUAACACAUGCAAGUCGAACGGAAAGGCCCUGCUUUUGUGGGGUGCUCGAGUGGCGAACGGGUGAGUAACACGUGAGUAACCUGCCCUUGACUUUGGGAUAACUUCAGGAAACUGGGGCUAAUACCGGAUAGGAGCUGCUGCUGCAUGGUGGGGGUUGGAAAGUUUCGGCGGUUGGGGAUGGACUCGCGGCUUAUCAGCUUGUUGGUGGGGUAGUGGCUUACCAAGGCUUUGACGGGUAGCCGGCCUGAGAGGGUGACCGGCCACCUUGGGACUGAGAUACGGCCCAGACUCCUACGGUAGGCAGCAGUGGGGAAUAUUGCACAAUGGGCGGAAGCCUGAUGCAGCAACGCCGCGUGCGGGAUGACGGCUUUCGGGUUGUAAACCGCUUUCGCCUGUGACGAAGCGUGAGUGACGGUAAUGGGUAAAGAAGCACCGGCUAACUACGUG